rnacentral:lncRNA from 1 species
AACUAGACCAAACCUCCUAUUCAGGGCAGGGCUUACAAUCUCACUCAGCAAGAUGCAAAAGCCAACCCGGAUGUGGUACAGGGCAAACCCAAGAAAAAAAUUUGUAUUCAAGAGAUUCUGGUAGUCUGAGACUUUCCAGAUAUAUUUCCGGAUGAACUACUUGGAUUGUUAGUAGAUAGAGAAGUCGAAUUCACCAUAAACCU